rnacentral:rRNA from 1 species
AACGUAGGAGGCAAGCGUUAUCCGGAAUUACUGGGCGUAAAGGGCGUCUAGGCGGUCGGUCAAGCACGAUGUGAAAGCGCCUGGCUUAACUGGGCGAGUGCGUUGUGAACUGGCGGACUAGAGGGCAGGCGACGGCGGUGGAAUUCCCGGUGGAGUGGUGAAAUGCGUAGAGAUCGGGAGGAACACCAGUGGCGAAGGCGGCCGCCGAGCCUGCACCUGACGCUGAAGCGCGACAGCGUGGGGAGCAAACGGG